GAGUUUGAUUCUGGCUCAGAUUGAACGCUGGCGGCAUGCUUUACACAUGCAAGUCGAACGGCAGCACAGGGAGCUUGCUCCUGGGUGGCGAGUGGCGAACGGGUGAGUAAUGUAUCGGAACGUGCCUAGUAGUGGGGGAUAACCACUCGAAAGAGUGGCUAAUACCGCAUGAGAUCUCUGGAUGAAAGCGGGGGACCUUUGGGCCUCGCGCUACUGGAGCGGCCGAUAUCAGAUUAGGUUGUUGGUGGGGUAAAGGCCUACCAAGCCUGCGAUCUGUAGCUGGUCUGAGAGGACGACCAGCCACACUGGGACUGAGACACGGCCCAGACUCCUACGGGAGGCAGCAGUGGGGAAUUUUGGACAAUGGGCGCAAGCCUGAUCCAGCAAUGCCGCGUGCAGGACGAAGGCCUUCGGGUUGUAAAC
rnacentral:rRNA from 1 species